rnacentral:snRNA from 1 species
UUUCUUAGGUUAGUCUUAACUUA